UCUUUUAAAAAGCACAGAGGAUCUUACAGUAUUUUUGUCUUCGGUAGACGGCAUUAUCUAUAUUGGGAUACCGAGAUCCGUUGAGAAGAGUGAGACACGCACACAGAGCCCAGCUCUCCCCAAGACUCACCGGAGUGACUGCGCACGCUGAGGACGGGCACGGCACUGAAGCACAGAAACCGGGGCUGUCAGGCAAAGGGAGAGGGCGGGUAGAGGCGGAGAGAGAGAGGGGGGC